rnacentral:sRNA from 1 species
GAUGAUCUACGUAAAAUCAGUGACUUAAGAAUACCACCUAACUGGUACCCAGAUGCUAGAGCCAUGCAGCGGAAGAUAAUAUUUCAUUCAGGCCCCACAAACAGUGGAAAGACUUAUCACGCAAUCCAGAAAUACUUCUCAGCAAAGUCUGGAGUGUAUUGUGGCCCUCUAAAAUUACUGGCACAUGAGAUCUUCGAAAAGAGUAAUGCUGCUGGUGUGCCAUGUGACUUGGUGACAGGUGAAGAGCGUGUGACAGUUCAGCCAAAUGGGAAACAGGCUUCACAUGUUUCUUGUACAGUUGAGAUGUGCAGUGUUACAACUCCUUAUGAAGUGGCUGUAAUUGAUGAAAUUCAAAUGAUUAGAGAUCCAGCCAGAGGAUGGGCCUGGACCAGAGCACUUCUAGGUUGGUGGUCGUAAUGCUAUAAAACCCGUGCUUUAUGACAUCUGCGCUGAGAUGCAUUUUUAUCUGCUUGCCAUUGCCAACCAAAUAGAGUCACCUAGAACCUUUCUUUUUGACA